AUUUCUCUCUGGACGAUGAAGAAUAGUAGUACCUCAUCACAGAGCUGCUGUCAGGACUAACAGGAGAAAUCCCAUAUAAUGUACCUAGAAUAUAGAAACCAGUCACUAAACGAUACCAAGAGAGAAGAGAGAAUAUUAUCUGAGGAAAUUACAUCCUCCUCUCAGGAGAAGAUGCAAGAACAGCUCAUCUGUAUUAUCAGGAUGAAAUGAAGAGCAUAUUGGACCAAGAGCUGGUUGCUGGGUGAUAUAGAGGUUGGGGAGUUAUGGAUAUCUUCCUCUUAAUUCUCUUAAUUGUCCAAUUUUUUUUCAGUGUAGUAGGACGCAAGAUCAUCUGUUAACAGUGAGCAUGGGAGAGGAUGUGGAGAAAGUUUGGAGAGAAGAAAUUGUAUGAAAUUGUAAUCUCCAAAAUCAAAAGAAUGCAUGAAGUAGAUAAGUGUUAUAAUAUCAUUAUGUUAUUAAUCAUGGCAUCAUAGUAACAAUACUAUUAAUCGCCCACAUCAGAUCUGUUUUGAUGAAUUUAAACACUUAAACAGAAUAUU
ensembl:lncRNA novel transcript